UAGAACCACGGGUUAUUAUUUUUAUACCUGUGUUCAGUCCUGGUUGUUUUAAUUUACACAAAAACCAUAAAAUUGCCCGACAACAUUAAAUUCAUUAUAUUUUAAAUAGCACCAUUUCAGUGUAACAGGGCUGUUGUAUUAGCUAUAUAUUUGUUGAAACAUUAUGAAAUGAUUUCAAACCUCACUUGACAUAUCUGUUUUUAAUUAUAGAAUCAUCAAUUUCUACAACAGGAAGUACAACUACAGAAUCAACAACUUCUACAACAGGAAGUACGACUACAGAUCUCACAACAAGAGCUGUAAAUAAAACAGAUGUAGAAGAAACUAAUGUUGGAGGUAUUGUUGGUGGAAUAGUUGGUGUUAUAUUGGUUAUUUCUAUAGUCGGUGCUGUCAUAUUCUUUUGUAAAAGGAGAGGCCAAACAGAUAAGUCACCGACUAAAGCUGUCCAUGUUAGUAGAAAUGUUCCAAAUCAACGACAUCCAACUGACUCGGCUUUACCUAGAAACAAAACACCUCAUUAUUCAGAUACCGAGUUGGACAAUACCACGUGCCCUUCAAGUGAUCAUUAUAAUUAUACUGGCGAGGAUAACUACCACCAUAUUGGAGGGAACCAAUCAAACACCGUUACUGAUGAUGCCUAUAACCAUAUUGGUGAACAUAAUAAAACUGGACUGGAUAGUGGUGGCUACCAUCAUAUUGGUGGAAAUCGCGGACGUCAAGAGAUAACGGACGUUACUUACAAUCAUAUUGGUGGUAAUCAUGGACACCCAGUUGUUGCUGAUGAUACUUACAACCAUAUAGGGGGGAGUCAUGGACAUCCAGUUGUGGCUGAUGGUACAUACAACCACAUUAGUGAUAGUAAUGGACACCCAGUCGUGGCUGAUGGUACAUACAACCAUAUUGCGGAUAGCCAUAGACAUCCAGCCAUGACUGAUGGUACAUACAACCAUAUUGGUGAUAGUCAUGGACAUCCAGUCGUGGCUGAUGGUACAUACAACCAUAUUGAAGGCUGAAGACAUGGGUUAGACUGUGGGAAAGAUGAUCUGCGCCCAACUGAAGAAACAGUGGAUUUACCGAAUCCAAGCCUACUGCCUUUGACACGUCAAGCGACUGAAGAGACUCUCUUGGAAAUACCACUUAUCAUUGGAUGCUUCAUACGGGGAUUUCCAGUAUUCUAUUUUAGACGACUUUAUUUUUGUAUCAACAUUUGAGACUGUUUAUAGAUUGAUAGUAUUAUACCAUUUGUAUUAACUGUGUCAUACAUUAUACAUAAAAAAUAAAAACACAUACUUAUGGCAAACAGCUACUAGUGUAUUUAAUACGAUGUUUUGAAGAGUAUUAUCGACCUGAUACAGCAAUAUAUAUACGAAGCAAAUACACUAUUAGCUAUUUUCCAUAAAUGUGUGUUUUUGACUUUACUCUAUCGAAUUACUUAAUGCCAUUUAAAGAUUAAAUUAUACAUUGUAACAUUUUGUAUUCAUUAUGCUAUACAUUGUAAUAUUUUU